CAAUGGCUCAAGGAAGGUGGUGAAGCAUCAGAUACGCCUAUUGACAGUGUUGUGCAAAUAAGGAUGAAGCAAUUUAGAGCAAUGAACAAGCUGAAAAAGCUGGCUUUAAAGGUUAUUGCAGAAAACCUUUCAGAAGAAGAAAUCAAGGGGUUGAGACAAAUGUUCAACAACAUGGACAUGGAUAGAAGUGGUACCAUUACUUAUGAAGAGCUCAAAAUUGGGUUAUCUAGGUUGGGAUCCAAGCUUUCAGAAGAAGAAAUACAAGAAUUGAUGGAAGCUGUAAGCAACCCGCGACUAUGGAGGAGGUUCCUUGUGUUAACUCACACAUGGGGAACCAAAGGCUAAUUUUCCAUUUACUAAAAUAAUAGAUGAAUGUUGACUUGAACUCUAAGUUGAUGGUGGAUUGUAGUAAACCUGGCUAUGAAGCUCUUACAAGCUACUUCGAUUAU